rnacentral:lncRNA from 1 species
CUGGCAUUGCGAGACUAGAGGUGAACUGACCACAGUGCUGGUUUUUUUUGUUUUGUUUGUGUGCAGUUUGUACGAGGCUGAAGCGGCAGAAACAAGAUGGCCGACAGCCAUCCAGUCACACCCCCACGUUCAGGAAUCAACGCUGUCGAGCGACACCAGACACCACUGCUCUGUGUUCAGACGAUGACUGGGUUUCUAAAUGCCCGUCUGGCUGCAGACUGCAAGGUUUGAUCUCACAGAUGGAGAGCAAGGCGGAGAGGAAACUGAGGAAGGUUUGUACAACAGCGAAGAUGUACGAAGACGCGGCGGAGAAGUCCAUGGCGACGAUGACACACGUCUACGGCUACAACCAGCGAGUCAUCGUCAACACGCUCGUGUCAGAGCGGACGUUCGUGGAACACGCCCAAGGAUUGGCCGGGAACCUCACGUCGCUACGGAAACGGUCAUCCCGGCUGUCCCAGAAACUCGUGGAGCUACACGGCAUUGUCCGGAAACAAAUGGAGGACUUGUAUCGAACAGAGGUGGACAUUGACAUGAAGCUGCGAGCCUGCUACGGGUCCUGCCGGGCAGUGUUACCGUUCAGCGUCGAUCCUCUUGGUUACCAAACGCUUCAAACGGACAUGGACGAGACGGACCGGACUCUCAACCAGAGAAGGAAGGCCGCUACGCCUCCUGAACACAUCCCACGUAUCAAGCUGCAGCCUGUAGACGUGAGCCCGGCAGCGUCCGCAGAAUAUAACAGCGUCCCAACGGUCCGAGGAAAACUGUUGACCCAGUUUGAGGACCUCGGAGCGAACCGGGUCGUUCUGGAGGCUCUGGAUCCCGCAGAGCUGGACUGA